rnacentral:lncRNA from 1 species
UUUGUCUCCAUUUUUUGUUUCAGUUCCCUCAUUACUACCAAUGCUAGUUCCAUCAUUACUGAGCUUAGAAGUUUCAUCAUUUUUAUUUUCAAGAGGGAGAGUUUUAUCAACUUUUGUUCCAGAAGAGAUUACUUCAACUUCAUCUGUGUGACUUUUUGAUUGCAUCUCCACUAACUCGUCAUAAUAUGCUUGUUUUUCACCAGUGUUUGUGACAUCUGUCGAUACUGUUUCGAAGGGAAUUUCAUGGUUUCUAUUGAUAUCUGUGGAUACUGUUUCUUGAGGAUAUUCACUCUGAGUUUCUGCUGCAUCAGAUUGAUUUUCAACAUUGUAUGUGAUGGUGUUGAAAGUUUCUUCAGUUUCUGAGGGAAUUUCAUGGUUUCUUUUGACAUCUGACGAUACUGUUUCUUGAGGAUAUUCAUUCUGAAUUUCUGUUGCCUCAGAUUGAUUUUCAACAGUGUUUGUGACGGCAUUGAAAGAUUUUUCAGUUUCUGAGGGAAUUUCAUGGUUUAUAUUGAUAUCCGUGGAUGCUGUUUCCCGAGGAUAUUCAUUCUGAGUUCCAGUUCCCUCAUUACUACCAGUGCUAGUACCAUCAUUACUGAGCUUAGAAGUUUCAUCAUUUUCAAAAGGGAGAGUUUUAUCAACUUUUGUUCCAGAAGAGAUUACAUCAACUUCAUCUGUGUGACUUUUUGAUUGCAUCUCCACUAACUCGUCAUAAUAUGCUUGUUUUUCACCAUCGUUUGUGAAGGUGUUGAAAGUUUCUUCAGUUUCUGAGGGAAUUUCAUGGUUUCUAUUGAUAUCUGCGGAUGUUGUUUCUUGAGGAUAUUCAUUCUGAAUUUCUGUUGCAUCAGAUUGAUUUCCAACAGUAUUUGUGACGGCGUUGAAAGAUUUUUCAGUUUCUGAGGGAAUUUCAUGGUUUAUAUUGAUAUCUGUGGAUGCUGUUUCCCGAGGAUAUUCAUUCUGAGUUUCUGUUGCAUUAGCGAAGUGUGGCGCAAACUGAUCAUGGCUUCCAGCAGCAGAAGGGUAUUCAAUGUCAGUAACAAAUGGCUGGAUUUUUGUUUCAGUGGUAGGAUUUGGUUCAUCAUCAUGCACAUUCAUUCUCUCAAGAGAUUCCUCAAGCGGUGUAAUGUCUUUUGUUUCAUUACUUUCUGUAAGCCAACACACAUGAAAAUAAAUUGUCAGUAACAUGGGAAGCUAACAAGAGUAAAUCUCACAUUUAACUUAACUCCAAAAAUUGAUUGAAUAUCAAUGUAAAUAAAAAAGAAUGAGUCUAUUGACUUAUAUUAUUUUCAUUGAAUCAUGAUGAUUGGGUGUGAUUUGUUGAUGGUGUAUAAUUGUCUGAAAAUUAAACUCUUCAAAAAAAAAUCACCAUUGGACAUCAAGUUUUCAUUUUAUAAUAAGGGCUUAUCAAGUUAUUGAUGUUUCUAUAUACUUCUUGGGUUUCACAUAGGUUCCUUCCAUUGGAAGUAAUCCUAUUGGAGGUGCUGUCGGACGCUUAAUGUAGGCAUCUCUCAGCCUGGAUUCAAAUCUUGAUUCGUCAGGUUUUGGGAGUCUAGCCCUUCCAAUAAACCCAAUCCCCAAUUAAGUGCUCAUUUUUUCAAAUACCAAACAUUAAAUCUGGCAAAACAGCACACUACUAAUAUAUUGAUACAGAAUGCAGAGUUUAUAGCAAAACCAAAAAAUAGAGUUCUGAAACUUUGUUGAAUCAAUCUACUUACCAGCACCACUUGGAUCAGUGUCUUUGGUUUGAUAAUUGGGAUGGAUAUAAGUCUCAGUUCUACUUCCUUGAUCUUGAGAAUCUUCCUCCAAAAUUUUCUGGUCUCUAUUGAUAUCUGUGGACAAUGUUUCCUGAGGAUAUUCAUUCUGAGUUUUUGUUGCAUCAGUGAAGUGUGGCACAAACUGAUCAUGGCUUUUAACAUCAGAAGGGUAUUCAGUGUCAGCAACAUAUGACUGGAUUUUUGGUUCUGUGGUAGGUUUUGACUCGUCAUGCACAUUCAUUCUCUCAAGAGAUUCCUCGAGUGGUGUUAUGUCUUUUAUUUCAUCACUUCCUGUAAGCCAACGCAAAUGAAAGUAUUAAUUUCAAUGUAAAUAAACUGUUGUCGAGCUAACAAAGAGUAAAUUUAACUAACCUCUAGUCUUUACUACUCAGUCUUAAAUUCCUAAGGUAAAUAUAAUUGUAAGCCACUAUGUUUGGUCUAAUGGUGAGUGGUUUAGGUGGUAUGGACAAGUUCCUAGGUUCAAACCUCAUUGCCUCUAAGUGUUAAAAAUGGUAAAUACCAUUGUACUGAUUACCACUAUUAGUGGAAUCUCUAUUCCAAUCUGUUUUUUAAUUUUUUAUGGCAAGGCUCGAACCCGAAACCUUAUUUAAGAGAUCUCAGUCCAGUUUCACUAGAUUAAUUUAAUGUUGGUAUUUGAAAAGAAGUUUGAUAAAAUUGUUGAAUAUACAAUUAAAAAACCACACAAUUAAGUACUCAUUUAAUCAAAUUAAGCAUUUAUUUUUCAAAUGACCUACUCACCUUCCUCAUUUGGAUUAGUGUCUUUGGUUUGGUAAGUGGGAAAAGUAUAUGCCUCAGCUCUACUUCCUUGUUCUUGAGAAUCUUCCUCCAAGUCUAUUUGCCUCUCCAAAUUGGCCUCACGUUUCUCUACCUUAUCUUCCAGAACAAAUGUUUCGGCCUUGUCGGUGGUUUCAGUGGUUGAAGAAACACCUUCAACUAGUGGAGCAUGAUGAGGUUCUUGUCCUGUAAAUUUUGUACCUUCAAAACCAAUUCCUGAAUUUCCUAAAUUUUCAACUUUCUCAGAUUCAGGUGUAGGCGUAGCACUCUUAACAUCUUCACUGUCAUAAUCUGUACAACAUCCAAAUACAAAAUGUUUCAGAAUAUUUUUUGUAGAAUGUUUUUAAAUUAAGUAUCUAAAACCUGUGUAGCACCGGAACUUUAUAUUGAAGAUGUGUCAGGUGUGUAACACAGACACACGCCACCGGGACAUAUUAUUACGUUCAAUUUUUUUCCAUUUCUCAAAUUAUUACCGGUGUCUAGUCCUAUAUCAGUGUCUAGUCUGAUGUCUAUGUCAAUGAUUUAUAGUCUAAAACCAAGUGCCAGAUUCUACUUCACAAGAGAAUAUGGGAUGUACUAGUAGUCCCUUGAAUUCUAUCAUAAUCUAAUUGCAUAAAGAAUGUAGAAAAGAACAUACUUGGUACUUCACGAUUUUUUUGGUCUUGAACUAUUGGUUUAUCCUCAUCCAAGUCACCAUCAUCAUCAGGAAUAUGCUGAGUUUCAGUGUCAUGUCCACUACCAUGAUCAAAUACAUUCUGACCAUGCUUCUUAAUACUGUCCCUAACUUUCCUAGCCUUUGCCUUCACCCUACUCAUAACAGACUUCUUCUCAGGCUCAGGCUCAGAAUUAGUGGGCUCUUCUGGUCCAUGUGUCAGUGUCACUUCAUCCAAAAUAGAUUCAAAUAAAGUAGAAAAAAAUGCUUCAAACUUAAAAACUACCAAGUAUAGUAUAUAUUAACUCUUGCUUCAAACAAAAUGAUAUGAUACCUGGAUAUGGUUCAACGUUAGGUGAGUUUUGUUCAUCGUUCUCCCCUUCCACAUGACUAUGAACAACUCUUGAAUCCAUGAUUAUAAAUUGUGAAGAAAAGAAACUGCUAUAAUGUAGAAGAACAAAAGGUUCUACUUUAUAGAGAGAAACAAAACAUGAAAUAGUGUCACCAAUACCAUUUUGCAUUUCAUAUGACUGGAGACACGUGGCACAUAACGACAAAUAACUAUCAUUUGACACUUGUUGAGUAUUAUUUGUGACACGUGGAGUCCUAUAAUUGGUUGUUUAUGUCGAUCAGCAGACAUAACUGCUCCUGUGGACUUUGGACGGUGUGGAAAGAGGUACGUACUACUAACCGAGUAUGGACAGUGACUCCACAGUGUUGCCCUGUCACUUUUUCAAUAGUUACUUUAAUUGUUCUACAAGUGAUGAUAAUGAUGAUGUGCACAGAUAUUAAAUUUGAUAAUUAGGGGUGUGUGCCGACAUUAGAAGUUAUUCAUGUUACAGUUAGAAAAUGUUACUUUUCAAGACUCUAAGUCCUAACCUAACUUAGGAGGGACCUUCUCUAAAAAUAAAAAUAAGCAUUCUUUUACAAAUAAAUUAUAUGAAUAAUUUUUUUAUCUACAGACGAAGUGACAAACACCAUCCACAGGCAUAACCUUAACACAACUAUAUGGUUUCAAGUUUUAAUCUGGAUAAAGUUGUCAAACUUAACAAAUCAACCUUAUCAGUUAAAUUAGAUCAUACAAACUAUUUGAAUAAUUUUGUAUGAUUGAUUAGAUUAAAUAAAUGAAGAUAAGAAGUUGAAUCCUAAAACAUGCAUUAUCAAUUUUACAAACAAAUUAAGAUGAUUAGGGUGGAUCAAUGGAACUAUCCUUCAUGUCCAUCGAGUUAACCCUUACAAGCUACAUAACUUCUCUACACAUGACCAAACCCCUUGAAAUGAAAUUCUACUUUCUUUUUUUUUUCUUCACGAUAGAGGGUCUCUAAACUAUCUUUCUAAAUUGAAUUUGUGACCAUAUAUUAUAUUGUGUAGCUACUCAGCCCUUGUAACAUGUUAAUUUGAUUACUACUUAAUUGUAAGACUCACAAUUUAUAAUUAGAUAAUAUAUAAUUAAAUGAAAAUAUAUGAUGGUCACAUAUGAUAUUAGAAUAUAUAAUAAUUAAAUUAAAUAUUUAUUAAAAUAUUCCGACAAUACAAACAUAAUAAUUUAGACAUGAUUCAUGAAUCCACCAUGAAUAGAUUAUUAACUUCUAUAUAAAACAUGAACAAAUAUCUAAUUACAAGUAACAUGAUCACUUCACAAAUGUAUUAUAUAUAGAUAUAUAGAAAACUUUAUUCAGGUAACUUGUUCUUCAAUUGGUUUACUCCUGUUUUCCUCCUUCAUCCACAGCUUGUUCCACUUCUCCAACAGAUUUUUUAUUCUUUGAUAAGUCUUCACCAAUUCCUCCACCUAUAACAAAACCAUCAAAAUUAUAAUCAUAUCACAUAUAGCAUAACAUUUUGCAAAAAUCUACUAGAAAAAGUAUUACCUUGUGGUGAUUUUACGAACCAAGAGCCAACAGCAUCCUUAACCUUGUCAACCAUGCCUUUUCCUGGACUAUUCACAUUGCUCUCUUCAAACACUUUGUCAGACUUCUCAACCUCACUAUCCAACUUUCCAUCCUCUUUUUUCAAUGGCUCUUCUUUUCCUUUAUUCAAAGUUUCUGAAAUCACCUCAGAAAGUGCCUUAUCUUCUUCACUAGGCUUUAGCUUCUCGGCCAAGUAAUCCUUCACAGUGACCCCUUUGUCCCCAUUUUUUGUUUCAGUUCCGUCAUUAGUUCCAUAUACUUUGGAUUUCACUGCACUUCCUACCUCUGCAACCUUUCCAUAAACUGGAGCUAAUUUCUCAGUAAGAGAAUAACCAACGUUAUUUCCAUUCUCACUUUUUUGAUGCUCAACUUUCUCAUCAUUUCCGAGCUUAGAAGCUUCGUCAUUUUCAGGAGGGAGAGUUUUAUCAGCUUCUUCCGCAGACGAGAUUUCAAUUUCAUCUGUGUAACCUUUUUGUUUUGGUUGCGUCUCCACUGGUUCUUCAUAACCUGAUUGUUUCUCAACGGUGUUUGUGAUGGUAUCAAAAUUUUCUCUAAUUUCCAAGGGAUUUUCUUGGUUUCUAUUGAUGUUUUUGGAUACUGUUACCUGAGGAUAUUCAUUCGGAGUUUCUGUUGCAUCAGAGAGGUGUGGCACAAACUGAUCAAUAUCACGGCUUCCAGAAGAAGGAGGGUAUUCAGUACUGUCAGCAACAGGUGGCUGGAUUUUUGGUUCUGUGGUAGGUUUUGGCUCAUCAUGCACAUUCAUUCUCUCUAGAGAUUCCUCAAGUGCUGUUGUUUCUUUUACUUCACCACUUCCUGUAAACCAACAUACAUGAAAUUAUUAUCUGUGUAAAUAAAUUGUUAGGGUCCGGGGAUCUUAGCAAGAGUAAAUUUCACAUUUUAUCUUAUACCAAAAAAUGGAAGAGUAAAUUGUCUUGUAUUAUUCCAUUUAUUCUAUUUUAAUUUGACUAUACUUACAUCUCUAAGUUAAAUACCAUUGCAUGCCGCUAUGUUUGGUCUAAUGGUGAGUGGUUUAGGUAGUAUGCAUGAGUUUCUAGGUUCAAACCUCGUCGCCUCUAAGUUUAAAAGAAAUGGUAAGUAUCAUUGGACUGAUUACCAGCUUUAUUUAGAUCUCCCAUCCCAAUCAUGUUUUUUUUCAUCACAAGGCUGAACCCAAAACCUAACCUUAUUUAAGAGAUUCCAGUCCAGUUUCACUGACUAAUUUAAUGUUGGUAUUUGAAAACAAGUUUGAUGAUAUUGUUGAAUAUAAAUUAAUAAAUCAACACAAUUAAGUGAUCAUUUUAUCAAAUUAAGCAUUAAAUCUUUUUAAAUAGUACACUGAUAUAUUGAUACAUAAUGAGGAGUCUAAAUAAAUCUGAUACUUUGUUGAAUUGACCUACUCACCUUUCCCACUUGAAUCAGCGUCUUUGGUUUGAUAAUUGGGAAGAGUAUAUGCCUCAGUUCUACUUCCUUGAUCUUGAGAAUAUUCCUCCAAAAUUUCCCAGUUUCUAUUAUCUUUGGAUACUGUUUCACUAGGAUAUUCAUUCUGAGUUUUUGUUGCAUCAGAGAAGUGUGGCACAAACUGAUCAUGGCUUCCAACAGCAGGAGGGUAUUCAGUGUCAGUAACAGAUGGCUGGAUAUUUCGUUCUGUGGUAGGUUUUGGCUCAUCAUCAUGCACAUUCAUUCUCUCAAGAGAUUCCUCAAGUGGUUUAAUGUCUUUUCUU